ensembl:lncRNA LINC01284 long intergenic non-protein coding RNA 1284
CAAUUUAUUCCAGAGGACAUAAAUGGACAUGUGUACAAACAUGCAAGUAAAAGAUUAUUCACUCAUGAAUCUUCAUUGGCAUGAAAAAAAUCUUAAGUGUACAUUAAAUCUUAUCUUAAAGUUCAUUAACUUUCUCUGGGAUGCAUUUUCUGACUACAUUUAAAUAAAGCUAUUUUCCUUUCUUCCCAGGAAGGUAUGUGGCCCUUCCUGAGGUGUGUUCUAAGUUGGUCUCCUAGGGUCCUGAAGGGGACUCCUGGAUGGUCUGUGGAAGGUGUUCUACCUAGAGGUGAGAGGGUUGUGGAACAGGGACCUUGGGUUCUAGGGUGUGUGGGUCUCCCUAAACUCUAACACAGGGGUCCCUAAUGCCCGGACCACAGACCAGUACCAGUCAGUGGCCUGUCAGAAAUGGGGCUGCACAGCAGGAGGUGAGCAGCGGGUGAGCCAGCAUUACCACCUGAGCUUUGCCUCCUGUCAGAUCAGUGGUGGCAGUAGAUUCUCAAAGGAGCGUGAACCCUAUUGUGAACUGUGCAUGCGAGGUAUCUAAGUUGCAUGCUCGUUAUGAGAAUCUAACUAAUGCCUAAUGAUCUGAGGUAGAACAGUUUCACUGGUUCCUGGUGCCAGAAAGGUCGGUGACCACUGCUCUAACACACACACCCGUCAGCCAGUACCUCACUGCAAUUUCACUGCCUCAGUGGCUCCACAUCAUUGCCUGUGCACUGGCUGUGUAUGUCCCCCGAGGAAAUGUCCCUUCUAGACAAAAUGUUUGGAAAGGUUUUCAUGGGCUCCUCUACUCCUGUAUAGCAGCCCCAUGCUUGUUUGCCUCCUCCUUCACAGGAAUCCCUCCAUUUAGGGUUAAAAACCGCUCCUCUCUCCAUUUUCCUGUAUCUUCCUCCCUCUUCUUUCCUCAUCCUCCCUAUUUUUUCAUUUCUGGACCCUUCUUCUAAGAUGUUAUAAGUUUCUGAAAGGAACUCAAUGUCCAGCUUCUUUAUCUCUGCCAUAAUUCUGGAUGUAAAGUAAGAUUGAAGAGAAGGAGUGGGGAGAUGAAGGGUUAGAUAAAGAAGAGAUGGAAAAAAGGGAGAGAGAAGAGAGAAGAAGUGGAUGAGAAGAAGAGAGAAAAGGAAGAGAGGAGAAGGAGGAAAGGAGGGAAGAAAGAGGAGGGAAGGAAAAGAAUAUGAAGAAGGGAAAGAAAGGAAAAGGGAAGGGAAGAGUUGAAGGACAGUGGAGGGAGAAAAGAAAAGGAGAAGGCGGAAAGAAGCAUGGGGAAGGAUUAGAGGUGGAGAAGGAGAACAUUGGGAAGCAGAGGAGAAGGAGCAGAAACAGCAGGUGAUGGAAGAGGAAUAAGAGCAGAGGAAGGAUUUCAUGUAGAGGGGGAUAAAGAGAAAAAAGGAAUUCGUAUGUCUGAGGAUCCCAGGGACAGCUUUCCCAGGUGAGAGCUGGGUUCAACUAUUCUGUGUUUCCCCCAUAGGCAGCCUCUUAUGGGGGUGGCUCCUGCCCACCUCUGCUGCUUAUGCUGCAGUUACUGGUGUUGCUUGGAAGCUGCCUCCAGGACGUCCUUCACCUUUCUGUUCUCCUCAAACCACUUUCUGGAGGGCCAGCCAGAAGGAUUUUGGAAUCAUCAUUCCAUCCCUCAACUCCUCCCUUCAGCUUCCCUUCAUUGUGCUGUGGAAGAAGAGCUCUUCGCUGAAUGCAGAGUGGAUGUUUCCAUAGAACAGCUGGCUCAUUUGACUCCGCAAGUCCUCCUACUUUACCUGUCGGUUUAUCAUCAGCUUCUCUUUGGAAGCUCAUACGUGAAAGGAACUCAUCUCCAGAUGAGACUUUGGACGUGGAACUUGGGACUUGGGACUUUUGAAAGAUACCUUCCCAAGUGAAAGCAAUAAGCCUUAACCAAAGCUGUGACUUAACCAAGGAUUCACAAGGCAUCUCCAAACAUUUCUAGGAUACGUGUGCAGAACGUGCAGGUCCGUUACAUAGGUAUACAUGUGCCAUGGUGGUUUGCUGAACCCAUCAACCCGUCAUCUUCAAAGCCUUUUUGAGACUGGCCACCCAAUGGGACUCGAAAAUUAUGCUGCCUGGAUGGCACAGACCAAGAGAGUCCUUCCACUUGGUCACAAGUCAAGCUUUCAAGGACAUCAAACAAGAUGAGAGAGAACCUAAAAUGAUACUCCUCUUCAUGACAGAAGGACACCCAAAGACAAAGGAAAAGACUAUUUCUGGUAGAAAAGGGACCAAACACUAUGAAUAUUCAAACCACAAAGUACCAAAAAGUAUACCAGAGUCACUAGAACAAGAUGAGUUAAACAAAUCCUUUCCUCCUAUUAAUCAAGACUUUGGAGAAGAAAAACAAAUAACAAUAUUUACCAUCCACUUGACCAGAUUCCACAGAAAGACAGAGACCUGGAGCCUGACUGGUAAGAAAUCCUUACCCUUUUGAUGGCUCAUCAGGACCUGGAUUCACUUGGCUGUGGGUCAGGAGAGCAGAGCCUGCUCACAGCCUCAAACUGUAGGAACCAAGGGAAAGUGUCCCCUUCGCCCUCGGAAGGUUCGCUAAAAAAUCAACUCACAAAUGACAGAUUAAUUGCAGCAAAGGCAUAGAAACUUUACUGAUGUGUACACAGGGAACAUCACAGCAUGAUGACCCAACCACCCAAUGACCUGAGGAAGCUUAUAUACCAUCCUGAGAUUACAGCAAAAACGUUGGCUUAGGGAAUGGCCACAAGCAGGUGAUAGUGGUAAAACAGGUUAUAGUGGCAAGACAGGUUAUGGGAGGGAGGGAAGAGGAGGCUGGCUAGCAAGGGUGGUCUUGUUAGGUAGAAGAACUCUCACAGGUAGGUAGCAGCCCUCAGAGUAAAUAGAUGGUAAAUGUUGCUUUCCAGUCAUUAAGGCAUCAGAAUCUUAGUUCCUUUCUCCUAGGUCCAGACAAGGGAAGGCUUGGCUGAGUUCAUGCAAAUUUUCUACACAUGCAAGUUUCCCCCACAAAAGACAGCUUUGCAGGGCUACUUCUUCUUGCUGGCUGUCUUUAUAUAAUCUCCAAUUAUAUCAAAGAAAUAUAUUUUGGGGGCUGGGCGCGGUGGCUCAUACCUGUAAUCCCAGCACUUUGGGAGGCCGAGGCAGGUGAAUCAUGAGGUCAGGAGAUCAAGACCAUACUGGCUAACACAGUGAAACCCCAUCUCUACUAAAAAUACAAAAAAUUAGCCAAGUGUGGUGGCAUGUGCCUGUAGUCCCAGCUACUCAGGAGGCUGAGGCAGGAGAAUUGCUUGAACCUGGGAGGAGGAGGUUGCAGUGAGCUGAGAUCGCGCCACUGCACUCCAGCCUGGGUGACAGAGCAAGACUCUGUCUCAAAAAAAAAAGAAAUAUAUUUUGGGGCAAAAUUUUUUUCCUUCCUUAUGAUAUUCUGAAUUAUGGGAACUUUCCUGCUGAACUAAUGUUUUUCAGUGAAGGUCCAUGGGGACAAGAAUUUGCCAUCCAUCAGGGGGCGACAGAGGCAGCCAUUUGGUUCAUUGAGAUGCAUUGCAAUUUUAGUGUUGGAUGUGUACUUGCCCUAAGUCCCAUAACAAAGCUUUGAUAUAAUAAUCACACCUUUUUACUGCAUUUCAAUAUCCAUAAAUAUUAAUAAGUCAUCUGAACAAUUAUCUGUUUCCUGUACUAAUUGUUAAUUGUAUAAACAAAGUUGUUUUAAAUAUUUAUAUAGAUUGUCAGGAUGUGGACUGUGACAUUUUAUCAGUUAACUGUAUUGACUGAUCAUGUACACAUCAG